rnacentral:rRNA from 1 species
CGCGUAGGCGGUAAUGCAAGUCAGAUGUGAAAUACUCCGGCUCAACUGGGGAACUGCAUCUGAAACUGCAUAACUAGAGUACAGAAGAGGGAAACGGAAUUCCCGGUGUAGAGGUGAAAUUCGUAGAUAUCGGGAGGAACACCAGUGGCGAAGGCGGUUUCCUGGUCUGAUACUGACGCUGAGGCGCGAAAGUGUGGGGAGCAAACAG